CCAAUCCCUAUUUUUCUCACUCCAACUAGCUUCUUGAUUAACUGUGCGCGUGUUUAUGUGUAGCAUUAUGUGUUUUGAUUCUGUCCGUGAAUUAGCUGUUGGUGAGUGUGUAUUCAUGAAGAAUAAAAAUAGAAGGUCGUUAAUGGUUGUUGUCGUGUUUAUGGUGUGGAAUCAGUGAGGGGAUUGUCCAUUUUUGUUUUACUGUGUUUGUAUUGUAUAUAGUGUGAAGAAGAGGAAAAUAAAGAAUUGUUUUUCUCAGUGGAUUCCCUUUUGUGUAAUUCAAAACCCCUCUUUAUUUUGUGUGUAUGUUUCUAUAUAUAUGGAGGAGGAUUAGUGUUAUCCCCUUUUUUAUCCCUAUAUUCUGUUAAAAAAAAGGGAAUAACAUGUGAUUAGGUGGGGUAAGGGGUGGUGAGGUGUCUGUUUUUAAUUGGAGAAGUUGUUAGGAUGGUUAAAACAAGAUAAA
rnacentral:lncRNA from 1 species